rnacentral:rRNA from 3 species
AAAUUGAAGAGUUUGAUCAUGGCUCAGAUUGAACGCUGGCGGCAGGCCUAACACAUGCAAGUCGAACGGUAACAGGAAGCAGCUUGCUGCUUCGCUGACGAGUGGCGGACGGGUGAGUAAUGUCUGGGAAACUGCCUGAUGGA